rnacentral:rRNA from 1 species
UGUCUGAAUAUGGGGGGACCAUCCUCCAAGGCUAAAUACUCCUGACUGACCGAUAGUGAACCAGUACCGUGAGGGAAAGGCGAAAAGAACCCCGGCGAGGGGAGUGAAAAAGAACCUGAAACCGUGUACGUACAAGCAGUGGGAGCACCUUCGGGUGUGACUGCGUACCUUUUGUAUAAUGGGUCAGCGACUUAUAUUCUGUAGCAAGGUUAACCGUAUAGGGGAGCCGCAGGGAAACCGAGUCUUAACUGGGCGUUAAGUUGCAGGGUAUAGACCCGAAACCCGGUGAUCUAGCCAUGGGCAGGUUGAAGGUUGGGUAACACUAACUGGAGGACCGAACCGACUAAUGUUGAAAAAUUAGCGGAUGACUUGUGGCUGGGGGUGAAAGGCCAAUCAAACCGGGAGAUAGCUGGUUCUCCCCGAAAGCUAUUUAGGUAGCGCCUCGUGAAUUCAUCUUCGGGGGUAGAGCACUGUUUCGGCUAGGGGGUCAUCCCGACUUACCAACCCGAUGCAAACUACGAAUACCGAAGAAUGUUAUCACGGGAGACACACGGCGGGUGCUAACGUCCGUCGUGAAGAGGGAAACAACCCAGACCGCCAGCUAAGGUCCCAAAGUCAUGGUUAAGUGGGAAACGAUGUGGGAAGGCACAGACAGCCAGGAUGUUGGCUUAGAAGCAGCCAUCAUUUAAAGAAAGCGUAAUAGCUCACUGGUCGAGUCGGCCUGCGCGGAAGAUGUAACGGGGCUAAACCAUGCACCGAAGCUGCGGCAGCGACACUAUGUGUUGUUGGGUAGGGGAGCGUUCUGUAAGCCUGCGAAGGUGUGCUGUGAGGCAUGCUGGAGGUAUCAGAAGUGCGAAUGCUGACAUAAGUAACGAUAAAGCGGGUGAAAAGCCCGCUCGCCGGAAGACCAAGGGUUCCUGUCCAACGUUAAUCGGGGCAGGGUGAGUCGACCCCUAAGGCGAGGCCGAAAGGCGUAGUCGAUGGGAAACAGGUUAAUAUUCCUGUACUUGGUGUUACUGCGAAGGGGGGACGGAGAAGGCUAUGUUAGCCGGGCGACGGUUGUCCCGGUUUAAGCAUGUAGGCUGGUUGUCCAGGCAAAUCCGGAUAAUCAAGGCUGAGGUGUGAUGACGAGGCACUACGGUGCUGAAGUAACAAAUGCCCUGCUUCCAGGAAAAGCCUCUAAGCAUCAGGUAACAUCAAAUCGUACCCCAAACCGACACAGGUGGUCAGGUAGAGAAUACCAAGGCGCUUGAGAGAACUCGGGUGAAGGAACUAGGCAAAAUGGUGCCGUAACUUCGGGAGAAGGCACGCUGGUGUGUAGGUGAAGUCCCUGCGGAUGGAGCUGAGACCAGUCGAAGAUACCAGCUGGCUGCAACUGUUUAUUAAAAACACAGCACUGUGCAAACACGAAAGUGGACGUAUACGGUGUGACGCCUGCCCGGUGCCGGAAGGUUAAUUGAUGGGGUUAUCCGUAAGGAGAAGCUCUUGAUCGAAGCCCCGGUAAACGGCGGCCGUAACUAUAACGGUCCUAAGGUAGCGAAAUUCCUUGUCGGGU